rnacentral:rRNA from 1 species
CAGCAGCCGCGGUAAUACGGAGGGUGCAAGCGUUAAUCGGAAUUACUGGGCGUAAAGCGCACGCAGGCGGUCUGACAAGUCAGAUGUGAAAUCCCCGGGCUUAACCUGGGAACUGCAUUUGAAACUGUCAGGCUGGAGUCUUGUAGAGGGGGGUGGAAUUCCAGGUGUAGCGGUGAAAUGCGUAGAGAUCUGGAGGAAUACCGGUGGCGAAGGCGGCCCCCUGGACAAAGACUGACGCUCAGGUGCGAAAGCGUGGGGAGCAAACAGGAUUAGAGACCCCUGUAGUCCCUGUCUCUUAUAC